rnacentral:rRNA from 1 species
UAAUACAUUACAACUUUCAGCGGUGGAUGUCUAGGUUCCCACAACGAUGAAGAACGCAGCGAAAUGCGAUACGUAAUGCGAAUUGCAAGACCUCGUGAAUCAUUAAGAUUUUGAACGCACAUUGCGCUUUCGGGAUUUUCCCGGUAGCAUGCUUGUCUGAGUGUCUGUGGAUC